rnacentral:rRNA from 1 species
ACGAACGCUGGCGGCGUGCUUAACCCAUGCAAGUCGCACGGAAAGGCCCUGCUUUUGUGGGGUGCUCGAGUGGCGAACGGGUGAGUAACACGUGAGUAACCUGCCCUUGACUUUGGGAUAACUUCAGGAAACUGGGGCUAAUACCGGAUAGGAGCUCCUGCUGCAUGGUGGGGGUUGGAAAGUUUCGGCGGUUGGGGAUGGACUCGCGGCUUAUCAGCUUGUUGGUGGGGUAGUGGCUUACCAAGGCUUUGACGGGUAGCCGGCCUGAGAGGGUGACCGGCCACAUUGGGACUGAGAUACGGCCCAGACUCCUACGGGAGGCGGCAGUGGGGAAUAUUGCACAAUGGGCGGAAGCCUGAUGCAGCAACGCCGCGUGCGGGAUGACGGCCUUCGGGUUGUAAACCGCUUUCGCCUGUGACGAAGCGUGAGUGACGGUAAUGGGUAAAGAAGCACCGGCUAACUACGUG